AGCUUUCUGCGGUGUGCGUGUAGGUCUAUUGACCAUAAUGGCCCAUUAAACCCACAUCUCUUAUAAGGGAUGCCGAUUUGAAUCUGCGGAUUGCAGGCCUCCCGCCUUACGGCGGACGUUGGAAGCAGCGAAACAGAGCUUAGGCGACCCACCUGCUCUUUUGUGCAGGUUAUAACUGGGCCAGCACGGCAUACGCGGAAGUCUC
rnacentral:other from 1 species